AAACGAGAAAUGCCUCCCAACCCCAUUUCCCACGUAUCGGCACACGACUCGUAACAAGGAAGGGAACCCCUCCUCUAACUUGCUUCUCUUCUCUUUUAUUCAUCCUAUAUCCCGCUGUGACUAAAAACCAGAGUCCAUGGCUUCUGCAGUCCCAAUGCAAAGGAUGUUUGUCACAGCACUCUUCUAUUUUUCAGGUCAAAAGGUAUGGGCUUUUAACCGAAUCCAUAGCCUUUUUAUAGGCAGAUGUUUACAGUGCUGAUCAGAUUCCAUGGUUGGACAAUCGACGAUUCGACAUGUCAUGUUUGGACAUCUUAUUGAUGGAAUAGAUGUUGU